ACCAGUGUAGCUCAGCGGUAGAGCACAGAGAAGACGUCGAUAACAAGACUCUGGAUGUCCUAGGUUCGAUUCCUAGCGCUGGUA
rnacentral:tRNA from 2 species